AUGUACAAUAAUGUUGUGACAAGUGUUCGAACAAGUGAUGUCGACACCGAUGACUUCCCGAUUAAGAUAGGACUGCAUCAGGGGUCAGCUUUGAGCCCUUAUCUUUUUGCAUUGGUGAUGGAUGAGGUCACAAGGGGUAUACAAGGAGAUAUCCCAUGGUGUAUGCUCUUUGCGGAUGAUGUGGUGCUAGUUGACGAUAGUCGGACGGGGGUAAAUAGGAAGUUAGAGUUAUGGAGACAAACCUUGGAAUCGAAAGGGUUUAGGCUUAGUAGAACUAAAACCGAGUACAUGAUGUGCGGUUUCAGUACUACUAGCUAUGAGGAGGAGGAGGUUAGCCUUGAUGGCCAGGUGGUACCUCGGAAGGACACCUUUCGGUAUUUGGGGUCAAUGUUGCAGGAGGAUGGGGGUAUUGAUGAUGAUGUGAACCAUCGAAUCAAAGCCGGAUGGAUGAAGUGGCGCCAAGCUUCUGGCAUUCUCUGUGACAAGAGAGUGCCACAAAAGCUAAAAGGCAAGUUCUACAGGACGGCGGUUCGACCCGCAAUGUUGUAUGGCGCGGAGUGUUGGCCGACUAAAAGGCGACAUGUUCAACAGUUAGGUGUGGCGGAGAUGCGUAUGUUGAGAUGGAUGUGUGGCCACACGAGGAAGGAUCGAGUCCGGAAUGAUGAUAUACGAGAUAGAGUUGGGGUAGCACCAAUUGAGGAGAAGCUUGUCCAACAUCGUUUGAGAUGGUUUGGGCAUAUUCAGCGCAGGCCUCCAGAAGCUCCAGGCAUAGCGGACGGCUAA
rnacentral:rRNA from 1 species